GGUCCCCAAAUCUUUUCACACGGCUUGACCUGCUGGCCGGCCGGCUGGCACUAGGCAAUGCAAGGGGCUUGGCUCUCUACUUCUCCCCUAACCCCCACUACCCCCAUACUGUAUCUGAGCUGGACAGUCCUCUACUUCUCCCCUAACCCCCACUACCCUCAUACUGUAUCUGAGCUAGACAGUCCUCUCCUUCUCCCCUAACCCCCACUACCCCCAUACUGUAUCUGAGCUAGACAGUCCUCUCCUUCUCUCCUAACCCCCACUACCCCCAUACUGUAUCUGAGCUGGACAGUCCUCUACUUCUCUCCUAACCCCCACUACCCCCAUACUGUAUCUGAGCUGGACAGUCCUCUACUUCUCCCCUAACCCCCACUACCCCCAUACUGUAUCUGAGCUGGAAAGUCCUCUCCUUCUCCCCUAACCCCCACUACCCCCAUACUGUAUCUGAGCUAGACAGUCCUCUCCUUCUCCCCUAACCCCCACUACCCCCAUACUGUAUCUGAGCUGGACAGUCCUCUACUUCUCUCCUAACCCCCACUACCCCCAUACUGUAUCUGAGCUGGACAGUCCUCUACUUCUCCCCUAACCCCCACUACCCCCAUACUGUAUCUGAGCUGGACAGUCCUCUCCUUCUCCCCUAACCCCCACUACCCCCAUACUGUAUCUGAGCUGGACAGUCCUCUCCUUCUCCCCUAACCCCCACUACCCCCAUACUGUAUCUGAGCUGGACAGUCCUCUACUUCUCUCCUAACCCCCACUACCCCCAUACUGUAUCUGAGCUGGACAGUCCUCUACUUCUCCCCUAACCCCCACUACCCCCAUACGGUAUCUGAGCUGGACAGUCCUCUCCUUCUCCCCUAACCCCCACUACCCCCAUACUGUAUCUGAGCUGGACAGUCCUCUCCUUCUCCUUCUCCCCUAACCCCCACUACCCCCAUACUGUAUCUGAGCUGGACAGUCCUCUCCUUCUCUCCUAACCCCCACUACCCCCAUACUGUAUCUGAGCUGGACAGUCCUCUCCUUCUCCCCUAACCCCCACUACCCCCAUACUGUAUCUGAGAUGGACAGUCCUCUCCUUCUCUCCUAACCCCCACUACCCCCAUACUGUAUCUGAGCUGGACAGUCCUCUCCUUCUCUCCUAACCCCCACUACCCCCAUACUGUAUCUGAGCUGGACAGUCCUCUCCUUCUCCCCUAACCCCCACUACCCCCAUACUGUAUCUGAGCUGGACAGUCCUCUCCUUCUCCCCUAACCCCCACUACCCCCAUACUGUAUCUGAGCUGGACAGUCCUCUCCUUCUCCUCUAACCCCCACUACCCCCAUACUGUAUCUGAGCUGGACAGUCCUCUCCUUCUCCCCUAACCCCCACUACCCCCAUACUGUAUCUGAGCUGGACAGUCCUCUCCUUCUCCCCUAACCCCCACUACCCCCAUACUGUAUCUGAGCUGGACAGUCCUCUCCUUCUCCCCUAACCCCCACUACCCCCAUACUGUAUCUGAGCUAGACAGUCCUCUACUUCUCUCCUAACCCCCACUACCCCCAUACUGUAUCUGAGCUGGACAGUCCUCUCCUUCUCCCCUAACCCCCACUACCCUCAUACUGUAUCUGAGCUGGACAGUCCUCUCCUUCUCUCCUAACCCCCACUACCCUCAUACUGUAUCUGAGCUGGACAGUCCUCUCCUUCUCCCCUAACCUCCACUACCCCCAUACUGUAUCUGAGCUGGACAGUCCUCUCCUUCUCCCCUAACCCCCACUACCCCCAUACUGUAUCUGAGCUGGACAGUCCUCUCCUUCUCCCCUAACCCCCACUACCCCCAUACUGUAUCUGAGCUGGACAGUCCUCUCCUUCUCCCCUAACCCCCACUACCCCCAUACUGUAUCUGAGCUGGACAGUCCUCUCCUUCUCCCCUAACCCCCACUACCCCCAUACUGUAUCUGAGCUAGACAGUCAUCUCCUUCUCCCCUAACCCCCACUACCCCCAUACUGUAUCUGAGCUGGACAGUCCUCUCCUUCUCCCCUAACCCCCACUACCCCCAUACUGUAUCUGAGCUAGACAGUCCUCUACUUCUCUCCUAACCCCCACUACCCCCAUACUGUAUCUGAGCUGGACAGUCCUCUCCUUCUCCCCUAACCCCCACUACCCUCAUACUGUAUCUGAGCUGGACAGUCCUCUCCUUCUCUCCUAACCCCCACUACCCUCAUACUGUAUCUGAGCUGGACAGUCCUCUCCUUCUCCCCUAACCUCCACUACCCCCAUACUGUAUCUGAGCUGGACAGUCCUCUCCUUCUCCCCUAACCCCCACUACCCCCAUACUGUAUCUGAGCUGGACAGUCCUCUCCUUCUCCCCUAACCCCCACUACCCCCAUACUGUAUCUGAGCUGGACAGUCCUCUCCUUCUCCCCUAACCCCCACUACCCCCAUACUGUAUCUGAGCUGGACAGUCCUCUCCUUCUCCCCUAACCCCCACUACCCUCAUACUGUAUCUGAGCUGGACAGUCCUCUCCUUCUCCCCUAACCCCCACUACCCCCAUACUGUAUCUGAGAUGGACAGUCCUCUCCUUCUCCCCUAACCCCCACUACCCCCAUACUGUAUCUGAGCUGGACAGCUUCCAGAUAUCUGUCUGAUGGACAAAACUAGUACUCUGCAUACAUACAGACUGACGGACGGAGACAGAAAGACAGAGACUGACGGACGGACGGUAAGACAGGACAUCCACAACCAGCUGUGACCACCCCGGAGCUUCUUGUUCUGGUGCCUCUACAGCAAAAUGUCAAAAUCAAGCAUUUCACAACACAACUCUGGAGGUACUGUCUAGUCCACAACACUGGAGGGACUGUCUAGUCCACAACUCUGGAGGGACUGUCUAGUCCACAACUCUGGAGGGACUGUCUAGUCCACAACUCUGGAGGGACUGUCUAGUCCACAACUCUGGAGGGACUGUCUAGUCCACAACUCUGGAGGGACUGUCUAGUCCACAACUCUGGAGGGACUGUCUAGUCCACAACUCUGGAGGGACUGUCUAGUCCACAACUCUGGAGGGACUGUCUAGUCCACAACUCUGGAGGGACUGUCUAGUCCACAACUCUGGAGGGACUGUCUAGUCCACAACUCUGGAGGGACUGUCUAGUCCACAACUCUGGAGGGACUGUCUAGUCCACAACACAACUCUGGAGGGACUGUCUAGUCCACAACUCUGGAGGUACUGUCUAGUCCACAACACAACUCUGGAGGGACUGUCUAGUCCACAACUCUGGAGGGACUGUCUAGUCCACAACUCUGGAGGGACUGUCUAGUCCACAACUCUGGAGGGACUGUCUAGUCCACAACUCUGGAGGGACUGUCUAGUCCACAACUCUGGAGGGACUGUCUAGUCCAAAACACAGUGAGAAGCAGCAGCAGCUCAAUCUUCUUAGCUGUCUGGAACGACUCCUGCUUCCUGCUUCCUGUUUCCUGUUUCCUGCUUCCUGCCAUCUUAUUAAAAGUGUCUUUGGAAAAUGUGUGAACAUCAUAUACUCCUGCUUCCUGGCCUUUUUUAAUUCAUUUAUUCUUAUGUCUUUUACAUUUUUAUAGUUUUAAUAUGUUGUUUUUAAUGAUGAGCCUGGGAAAACCAAAAAUGAUGUAUCGGAAGUUGGGGGAAGAACUACUGAUUUUGGAAGGUUAGGUUAAGUUAGGUUAGGUUAAGUUAAGUUAGGUUAGGUUAAAUUAGGUUAGGUUUAUAUUAGGUUAAGUUAGGUUAAGUUAGGUUAGGUUAAGUUAGGUUAGGUUUAUAUUAGGUUAGGUUAAGUUAUGUUAGGUUAGGUUAAGUUAGGUUAAGUUUGGUCAAGUUUGGUCAAGUUUGGUUAAGCUAGGUUAAGCUAGGUUAAGUUAGGUUAAGUUAGGUUAGGUUUAUAUUAAGUUAGGUUAGGUUAAGUUAGGUUAGGUUUAUAUUAGGUUAAGUUAGGUUUAUAUUAGGUUAAGUUAGGUUUAUAUUAGGUUAGGUUAAGUUAGGUUAAGUUAAGUCAGGUUAGGUUAAGUUAGGUUAGGGCUACAUUCCAAAUGUCACUUAUUCCCUAAAUAGUGCACUACUUUUGACCAGAGCUCUGUGGCCACUGGUCCAAAUGAAUGUACUAUAUAGGGAAUAGGGUGCCAUUUGGGACACGGCCUAGGUUCUACAAGAUGGAGUCUCAGUUAAGACUGUGUGGUGGUGAUGGGGGAUGGGCUGUUGCCUGGAGCCUGGGUACCUUGUAUACCCUACUGCUGCUUGGCUGUGCCAGCAUGUCUAGAAGUUAAACCUUUCAUUGUCAAAUCAAGUGCCUUCAGUUGUAUUGUUUUGAGUGAAUAAGAGGGAAAAAACAAAGGAACGCCAAGUUUUCUGUAUUGUAGUGUAUUGUAGUGUAGUGUAUUGUAGUGUAUUAUAUUGUGUAUCGUGACGUCAAGCAAUAAUGAUGUAUCGUAGAAAUUGUAUUAUUGACGAACAAACCACACUUUCCUCUACUUACCCUGUUUAAUAAUCAAAGGUAUAUUUCUGUUGUUAAAGGUUUUCUAAAAACGUGUUAUUAUGGUGUAACUUUCUCUUAAAUCCUUCUUUAUUUUUCAGUCUUAUUCAAGCCUGAUUGUUGCUUUGUUUUAUCUUUUAGUAAUCUUCUAUGUUUCUUGGGUUAUUACAUGAUGUAUUAUAGAUCAAACAGAUCCUUGGUUUGUCGUGGAUCGAUAUGUUUCAUCACUAACUGACGUGACGUCUUUACAAACAGACAGAUUCCCGUGUCGUCUCUCAACAGGUUAGGAUUUUUAACUGGCCAAUUUUGUAAUGAUUUGAUCAAUAUUGGUGUAAUUGUAUCCUUAUCGAUCACACGCUCUGCUUUCAUUCUUUCACUAUUACGUUAAGAUAUUCCUAAUCAAUACCCCCCCCCCCCCUUCCAAAAUGAAAACAAAAGACCCUUUGUAUCAAUAAGGGCUUGUUUGAUAUAACUGCAUCCUGAAUGGCCUAUUCCCUACACAGUGCACUACUAUAUAUAGGGAAUAGGGUCCAUUUUAGGAGCCGGCCAUUGUCUCCCUGUCUGAAAGGCAGUCUACGGAUGUCCCUUACUACCCUGUUGUAGACCUGCUGUGCUGCUGAAACAAGAUGGUGGUUAGGACCUGUUUUAUCUGGGUAGAAGAGCAUGUCAUGAUGGUCAGAGAGGCAAGGUUAGAGGGUACAGCCGGGGUUUGAUUUAAAUCAAUGGUAAACGUGAGUUACAGUAUGUGGGCUUUAGUUGGUGUACAGGUAGAAGUUCUCCUUAUGAAAAAACAACCAGCUAUGGUUUUACAGUCAGGAAUUGUUGUGAUGUGACAGAUUCCAAAGAGUUAUUUUAUUUUUAUUUUUUUCUAGUGAUUCUUCUUUCAACUGAUACUGAAUCUAAUUUCACGGGCGGGAGAAAAAAAAAACACAAAAAAAUAUUUGUUAUUAUCAACCUCUGUCCAUCUGUCUAACUAUAUACACAUGUACGUACGUAUAAGCUAAUGAGAAUUUGUCAGUUAGGUAGGGUUUCAAGGUAACAGAGGUGUCUAGACGGCCAUUUUGAUUAACUAAACUGAGGAUUCUAGAAGUUCUAGAAUAGAACAGACAAGUACGUGAUUCUUCCGGAGUUAUCUCUGUCACGUGUUUGACAUUCUGACAACACUACAGCAACAUUGGUGGUUCACUACAGUGACGUAUCUUGUUAAAGUUGGUGGUUGAAUAAAUAAAUGUAUUUGUCACAUAA